rnacentral:lncRNA from 1 species
UUUGUAAAUUUUCUGCAAACAAAUUUACACAAAUGAUCAGAUAAUUUUGAAAGUAUUUCUUCAAGUAAAUGUGAAAUGAUUCUAGAUUAAGCUUGAAUCAAAUGGACCAAUAAUAAGCCCAAUCGGAUGGACCAAAUAUGUUUAAAUCGGAUGAAAUUUAAGCUGUUCGAUCGAACAAGAUUUGGUGCUAGCCGAUCGAAUGAGAUUUGAUGCUAGUCGAUCGAACGAGAUUUUUAUGCUAGCCGAUCGAACGAGAUUUGAUGCUAGCCGAUCGAACGAGAUUUGAUGCUAGCCGAUCGAGUGGGGUUUGUUUCUAGCCGAUCGAGUGGGGUUUAUUGCUAGCCGAUCGAACGAGAAGUUUGUUGGCCGAUCGAACGAGAAGUUUGCUGGCCGAUCGAAGUUGCUAGCCGAUCGAAGUUGCUGGCCGAUCAAAGUUAGUUGCUGGCCGAUCGAAGUUGCUAGUCGAUCGAAGUUGCUGUUCGAUCAAGUAAGUCAAAAUACCUGCAAACCGUCAAUAUCACCUAAUCACAUGCACUCUGACAAUUGAUAUGUUCCACUUCAUUACUCAAUUCCUAUAGGACCCCAAACUCAAACACAUGCAACAUUAAGUGUUAUUUUAAUAUCCGAUAAGAUGGAAUCUGACAAUUUGGUCGAAUGAUAUCACAAGUCUCAAAUAUGAUUAGACCUCACUAUUUAUGCUUAUUAUAAUAUCAUUUGGCCAUGAACCAUAAGCCCUCAAAAAUCAUUCACAUUCACUACAUGACAAGACAUUUUUCAAAUAUGUAAACUUAAACUAUAUCACAAGCUAACUGACAACAUCACAUGGAUUCUAAAAUCUCAUUGAACCUCCAAUUUGAAAAACAUGUACCAAUGUAUGAAUAUAUGUGCAACCGGUAAUCAAUCAAUCACAUGAUAUUGGCCGACAAAGAGUAAUGCACUUAUUGGGUUGCUCAACUCUUUAACAUAUCACAUGCAUUUGUUAAAUUGGUUGAACAAGCGGUGAAUCGAACUGAAAAGCUGGCCGUUCGGUGAUGCUGUUCGAUCGGCCAGGGUCAACAAAGCCAAUGCUUUAAUGAAUGCCUGUGUCAGUGGAACGGUUAGAGAUGCUAGCAGAUCGGCCGGGCUAGCCGAUCGGCUGGGCUAGCCGAUCGGUUGGCAUCUUCAACAUCAACAGCAAACAUAUCUCAAUCUUUUCGAAUCAAAAAUUCAAGAUUUCUCCCAAACCGUUAAGAAUUAAGAUCUGAAAAUUUGUAGGCUUGUAGAUCAAGUGUUUUCGCACAUC